GAUUAGAUGGAAUGGUGAUGCAAUUAGAUGCACGAGGUCACCUAGUGAGCUAAAACAUUAAGAGGCAUGUAUUCUGUUUGACCCAACCAAUC